CCGAGAGGGGGCGGUGGCGGCGGCUCUGGUGGAUCAGGGGAUGGAGGCUUUGCUGGGAAGUCCAAUGAGACUCUCCCAAGUUUUUUUUAGCUACCAUUGGAUUUCUAUUUCUGUAUGUCUACGUCCUCACUGGCGAGGAACUUACAAAGCUAGCUAAGGACUACAUUAACUAUCUGUAUAGUGGAAGACGAAGUGUGAGAUUAAAGCGAGCCAUGUUCAAAUGGGACCGACUCUGCCGGAGCAUGACGGAGAAGGUGGUGGACAGGCAGUGGUUGGAGAAGGCUAUGCUCAAAAGGAAUUACUUGCAAUCAAAAUCAAAUCUAAAUUCAUUUUCAGGUCUCUGUCAUCAUCCUGUCUGGUUCUUUCCCUACAUUUGUCUUCCCCCCCCCCCCCCCCCCAAUUAGAUUGAUGAAGAUAGGAAUAGAGAGGUAGGCUAAAUCAAUAUGAAUAUAGAGGUUUCAUUUUUUAGGUUAUUUGAGGUAUAUCCAAUUAUUAAUGGUUUGGUUGCCGUUGUGAACGUGAGAAUGUCUUGUACAAGAGGCUGAUUUUUUUUUUUCUGUUACGAAAAUAUUUAUUUGCAGAUUUUUGCACAAUUUCGGUCAUAAUGUGUGCUUAGUUGAAUGAUUUUGAGCGGCUCAUGAGAGGCACAAGCUAUACAUUUUCUGUAGACAAACAUAAAAGAAUUGCUUAAUUGGGAGUUUGGGCAAAUUUGAAUCAAAGAA